rnacentral:rRNA from 1 species
UACGUAGGUGGCAAGCGUUGUCCGGAAUUAUUGGGCGUAAAGCGCGCGCAGGUGGUUUCUUAAGUCUGAUGUGAAAGCCCACGGCUCAACCGUGGAGGGUCAUUGGAAACUGGGAGACUUGAGUGCAGGAGAGGGAAGCGGAAUUCCAUGUGUAGCGGUGAAAUGCGUAGAGAUUUGGAGGAACACCAGUGGCGAAGGCGACUGUCUGGUCUGUAACUGACACUGAGGCGCGAAAGCGUGGGGAGCAAACAGG